rnacentral:tRNA from 1 species
GCGUUUUUAGCUUAAAGGAUAGAGCAUCAACCUUCUAAGUUGGAUAGUGUAGGUUCAAGUCCUACAAAACGUAC